rnacentral:rRNA from 1 species
GUUGCCUCGGCGGAUCAGCCCGCGCCCCGUAAAACGGGACGGCCCGCCCGAGGACCCCUAAACUCUGUUUUUAGUGGAACUUCUGAGUAAAACAAACAAAUAAAUCAAAACUUUCAACAACGGAUCUCUUGGUUCUGGCAUCGAUGAAGAACGCAGCAAAAUGCGAUAAGUAAUGUGAAUUGCAGAAUUCAGUGAAUCAUCGAAUCUUUGAACGCACAUUGCGCCCGCCAGUAUUCUGGCGGGCAUGCCUGUUCGAGCGUCAUUUCAACCCUCAAGCUCAGCUUGGUGUUGGGACUCGCGGUAACCCGCGUUCCCCAAAUCGAUUGGCGGUCACGUCGAGCUUCCAUAGCGUAGUAAUCAUACACCUCGUUACUGGUAAUCGUCGCGGCCACGCCGUAAAACCCCAACUUCUGAAUGUUGACCUCGGAUCAGGUAGGAAUACCCGCUGAACUUAAGCAUAUCAAUAAGGCGGA